CUGCCUUAGGUUCAUAUGAUUUAUUUUCUUUCUUCCAGACAGUGUCCAUAGUCACCACGUCACCAACAGUGAAAACUUGUCAAAAAUGGAGAGAAUGUCUGAUAAAGAGGGGCUUUUGAAGAUACUGGAAGAAUUGUCAGAUAAGGAAUUCAAGAUGUUCCAGUGGUUCCUGCAGGAUUCUGACCUCCUGGUAGGAUUCCAGGCCAUCCCAAAGAACCAACUGGAAAACACAGACAGGAUUGACACAGUCGAUAAGAUCCUACAUCACUUCAGCCAUCAGUCUGUAGAAGUGGUGAAGAAGGUUUUAAAGCAUGUCGAUAGGAAUGAUCUGGUGGAGAAAUUUUAAAGCACCAGCCCAGGAGCACAAGGCAUGUUUCCAUGGAGACAAUCUGAGGCUUGUUCUUCGCCCAACACACUGUUGGAGGCCCAGCUCUCU